rnacentral:rRNA from 1 species
UUCCGGUUGAUCCUGCCGGACCUGACUGCUAUCGGAUUGAUACUAAGCCAUGCGAGUCAUUGUAGCAAUACAAGGCAUACGGCUCAGUAACGCGUAGUCAACCUAACCUAUGGACGGAAAUAACCUCGGGAAACUGAGAAUAAUGCCCGAUAGAACAUUAUGCCUGGAAUGGUUUAUGUUCCAAAUGAUUUAUCGCCAUAGGAUGGGACUGCGGCCUAUCAGUUUGUUGGUGAGGUAAUGGCCCACCAAGACUAUUACAGGUACGGGCUCUGAGAGGAGUAGCCCGGAGAUGGGUACUGAGACACGGACCCAGGCCCUAUGGGGCGCAGCAGGCGAGAAAACUUUGCAAUGUGCGAAAGCACGACAAGGUUAGUCCGAGUGAUUUCUGCUAAAGAAAUCUUUUGCAAGUCAUAAAACCACUAGUGAAUAAGGGGUGGGCAAGUUCUGGUGUCAGCCGCCGCGGUAAAACCAGCACCUCAAGUGGUCAGGAUGAUUAUUGGGCCUAAAGCAUCCGUAGCCGGCUCUGUUAGUUUUCGGUUAAAUCUAUGUGCUCAACGCAUGGGCUGCCGAAAAUACUGCAGGGCUAGGGAGUGGGAGAGGUAGACGGUACUCGGUAGGAAGGGGUAAAAUCCUUUGAUCUAUCGAUGACCACCUGUGGCGAAGGCGGUCUACCAGAACACGUUCGACGGUGAGGGAUGAAAGCUGGGGGAGCAAACCGGAUUAGAUACCCGGGUAGUCCCAGCUGUAAACGAUGCAGACUCGAUGAUGCAUUGGCUUAUUGCCAAUGCAGUGUCGCAGGGAAGCCGUUAAGUCUGCCGCCUGGGAAGUACGUACGCAAGUAUGAAACUUAAAGGAAUUGGCGGGGGAGCACCACAAGGGGUGAAGCCUGCGGUUCAAUUGGAUUCAACGCCGGG